GAUGAAGAACGUAGCGAAAUGCGAUACGUAAUGUGAAUUGCAGAAUUCAGUGAAUCAUCGAAUCUUUGAACGCAUAUUGCGCUCUCUGGUAUUCCGGAGAGCAUGCUUGUUUGAGUAUCAGUAAACACCUCAACUUCCAUAUCUUUUUUGAAAUGGGAGUUGGACUUGAGUGAUCCCAACGCUUUUCCUCACCGAAAAGUGGCGGGUUACUUGAAAUGCAGGUGCAGCUGGACUUUUCUCUGAGCUAUAAGCAUAUCUAUUUAGUCUGCCUAAAAAACAGAUUAUUACCUUUGCUGCAGCUAACAUAAAGGAGAUUAGUUCUUGUGCUGACUGAUGCAGGAUUCACAAAGACAGGCUUCGGCCGACUUUGUAAACUCGAUCUCAAAUCAAGUAAGACUACCCGCUGAACUUAAGCAUAUCCAUAAGCAGAGGA
rnacentral:misc_RNA from 1 species